GGCGGCAUGGCCAAGUGGCUAAGGCAAUGGAUUGCAAAUCCAUCAUCCCCAGUUCGAAUCUGGGUGCCGCCUCCA
rnacentral:tRNA from 1 species